CCUACGGGAGGCAGCAGUGGGGAAUAUUGCACAAUGGGGGAAACCCUGAUGCAGCGACGCCGCGUGAGUGAAGAAGUAAUUCGUUAUGUAAAGCUCUAUCAGCAGGGAAGAAAAUGACGGUGCCUGAGUAAGAAGCCCCGGCUCACUACGUGCCAGCAGCCGCGGUAAUACGUAGGGGGCAAGCGUUAUCCGGAUUUACUGGGUGGAAAGGGAGUGUAGACGGCAGUGGAAGGCUGGAGUGAAAGGCGGGGGCUAAACCCCCGGACUGCUCUGGAAACUGUACGGCUGGAGUGCAGGAGAGGUAAGUGGAAUUCCUAGUGUAGCGGUGAAAUGCGUAGAUAUAAGGAGGAACACCAGUGGCGAAGGCGGCUUACUGGACUGUAACUGACGUUGAGGCUCGAAAGCGUGGGGAGCAAACAGGAUUAGAUACCCCUGUAGUC
rnacentral:rRNA from 1 species